rnacentral:rRNA from 2 species
ACGCUGGCGGCAUGCCUAACACAUGCAAGUCGAAGCGAAGAGCUUCCUUCUUAAUGGCGCACGGGUGAGAAACACGUGGGAACCUGCCUUUCGGUUCGGAAUAAGGGGGGGAACCGGACGCUAAGACCGGUUACGCCCUUCGGGGGAAAGUUGGGGCCGGGGGGGGGGCCCGCGCCUGAUUAUGUAGUUGGUGAGGUAAUGGCUCACCAUGCCUUCGGUCCGUAACUGGUCUGAGGGAUGAUCACCCACCCUGGGACUGAGACACAGCCCACACUCCUACGGGAGGACGCAGUGGGGAAUAUUGGACAAUGGGCGCAAGCCUGAUCCAGCAAUGCCGCGUGAGUGAUGAACGCCUUAUGGUUGGAGAGUUCUUUCGGACUCAACGAUGAUGACCGUUUUCUGAGAAGAAACCCCGGAUAACUUCGUGCCAGCAGCCGCGGUAAUACAAAGGGGGCUAGCGUUGUUCGGAAUUACUGGGCGUAAAGGGCGCGUAAGCGGCCUGUUUAGUCAGAAGUGAAAGCCCCGGGCUCAACCUGGGAAUAGCUUUUGAUACUGGCAGGCUUGAGUUCCGGAGAGGAUGGUGGAAUUCCCAGUGUGAGGUGAAAUUCCCACAUAUUGGGAAGAACAGCGUUGAAUAAGGGGUCUUUCUGGACAGACCCUGACUUUG